CCUACGGGGUGCUGCAGUGGGGAAUAUUGCGCAAUGGGCGAAAGCCUGACGCAGCGACGCCGCGUGAGGGAUGAAGGUCUUCGGAUCGUAAACCUCUGUCAGCAGGGAAGAACGGUCACUGUGCUAAUCAGCAGUGAAUUGACGGUACCUGCAAAGGAAGCACCGGCUAACUCCGUGCCCGCAGCCGCGGUAAUACGGAGGGUGCGAGCGUUAAUCGGAAUUACUGGGCGUAAAGCGCUCGUAGGCGGUAUGUCAAGUCAAGGGUGAAAUCCCCGCGCUCAACGUGGGAACUGCCUUGGAAACUGGCAAACUGGAGUGUGUGAGAGGAUAGUGGAAUUCCAGGGGUAGGAGUGAAAUCCGUAGAUAUCUGGAGGAACAUCAGUGGCGAAGGCGACUAUCUGGCACAUAACUGACGCGGAGGAGCGAAAGCGUGGGUAGCAAACAGGAUUAGAUACCCGUGUAGUC
rnacentral:rRNA from 1 species